rnacentral:snoRNA from 1 species
AUCGUGGUUGAUGAUUCACAUUUGAUGCAUUUCCAUAUAGGGCCACAGCCCAUGCGGAAAACUGUUGGAGACCUGAACUGACACGAU